GGGGAUUUAGCUCAGCGGCAUAAGCACCUGCCUUGGAAGCAGGUAGUCAUGAAUUCGAUCCCCA
rnacentral:tRNA from 1 species